AUGAACUUCAUAUGUGGUACACACAUUCAAUCCGAAAUGCCUGAGCUACAUAUGUUUGAAUUGAUUGGAACAAGUCCUCUCCCACUUGUGAUGGAUGACAAUGAUAGAACAACGGUUUUGUUUUUCUCUCACUGUGGGAACAAGACUCCCAUUGUUCAUAGACAUGUUCGCUACCUUUGGAUUCCACCAACAGUGGUGGGGUAUUGCUUGCCUCUGAAAAUGAUUAUUGUGGCAGAUGAUUACUCGUGA